UGGGGAAUUUUGGACAAUGGGGGAAACCCUGAUCCAGCCAUCCCGCGUGUGCGAUGAAGGCCUUCGGGUUGUAAAGCACUUUUGGCAGGAAAGAAACGUCGCGGGUUAAUACCCCGCGAAACUGACGGUACCUGCAGAAUAAGCACCGGCUAACUACGUGCCAGCAGCCGCGGUAAUACGUAGGGUGCAAGCGUUAAUCGGAAUUACUGGGCGUAAAGCGUGCGCAGGCGGUCCGGAAAGAAAGAUGUGAAAUCCCAGAGCUUAACUUUGGAACUGCAUUUUUAACUACCGGGCUAGAGUGUGUCAGAGGGAGGUGGAAUUCCGCGCGUAGCAGUGAAAUGCGUAGAUAUGCGGAGGAACACCGAUGGCGAAGGCAGCCUCCUGGGAUAACACUGACGCUCAUGCACGAAAGCGUGGGGAGCAAACAGGAUUAGAUACCCUGGUAGUCCACGCCCCUAAAACGAUGUCAACUAGCUGUUGGGGGCCCUUUCGGGGCCUUGGUAGCGCAGCUAACGCGUGAAGUUGACCGCCUGGGGAGUNCGGUCGCAAGAUUAAAAGCUUAAAUGAAUUGACGGGGGUCAUAGCUG
rnacentral:rRNA from 1 species